GAACUGUAUUGUGAUUGUAGCCUGUGGAUUUAGAUAUUUCAGAAGACGUACAAGAUAAUAAUAUAGAUGUUGUGUAUGAAUCAUUACAUUUAAGCGACGAUGAGGACAAUAUAACAUGGAGGAGACACAUACCAUCCGAUUUACAGAAACCAAUUACUUCUAAUUUAAUUCAUUCAAAUGAAAAAGGAAGUGGGAAAAGAAAAAGUAAUGUGGAAGACAGUACACCUACACCAAAAAGAAGGCAAACAUUGCCUACCUCAAGGCGUCGUCCAACAACCCAAAUUAAGGCAUUAUCAAGAUCAGAAUUGGCAGAGAAGUACGAUUUGCUCCUUGACAAAAGAAUCGAUAUGGUCAAUUAUCAAAAUAAGAAAAUGGAAGAAGAACUAAAAAGUAUAGAACGUGAAAGAGAACUAAAAGUGGAAUUACUUAAAUUACAGAUUCAAGUAGAAAAGGAAAAAUUAAAG